rnacentral:lncRNA from 1 species
AUAUCCCCUGUUUCUUUUAAACUUUAAAACCCCACACCACUAUUUAUCAUCUUUUCUGAUUUCUAAAAAAAAGCCACUGAGUCAUGUUCGAGUAGUACCGAGUUAAUGAGUCGAGUUGUGUUUAGCUCUAAGUCAUCUGUUGAAUUCGAGCCUGUUUUGUUUUCAUCGAGCCACACCACCGAGUAGCAGUUUGUUUUGCGAUCUUGUUGUUCUGUAGAAUUCUGUUUGCUGCACUACCGAGUCAUCUACGUUGAUUGUUGCUGGGUGUAGUUGUUUGGUUUGUUUUGUGAAUGUUGAGUAGAGUUUGCAUCAACACUACCGAGUUGUGCACUGAGUCGAGUCUGAGUCAUUGGGUCGUUGUCUGUUUAUGAAACUGAGUUCUACCUUGUUCUCGAUUUACCUUGCUGGGUUUCGUUUGUUUUUAUUGUUUUGAUUAUUGCUGAGUUGUUGGGUUGUUUGAUUUUGCUCUACUACUGUAGUUUUGUUUCAGUCGAGUUCUGUCAAGUCUAUGUGAGUCCGUUUGUUUUACUUGUAAACCGAGUUGUAUGCCUUUUGUUGAGUAAAUAGGAGUUCUGUUACCUAAGUAGUUCUUUUUGCCGAGUUGUUGGAUUGAACCGAGUCACUGGGGCUGGGUCUUGAAUUAGUCUGCUACUGUGCUUCGCUGAGUUGUGUUACUCUUUUUGCUUGAUUAGUUUGAGUCACAGAUUAAGUAUUUGGUUGAUUUUGUUGGUUUGAAAAGAUGUUGUGAUUUGGUGAUUCUAAUAUUGUUCGAUUUAUGAAUUGAUUUUGUUAAUUGGCUAGUUUAGUUUUCAAAAGAGUCCUGUCAAAAUUUUCUCUAAUUCUUAAAAUUUAUUUUUAAUUUUUAGUUUAAUUUAAUCUCUAGUUUUUGAGUAAUUUAAUUUAGAAUAAUUAAUUAGUUAAAUUUUCGAUAACUGAUACUCCC